CAGGGCUUCCUUUAGGGUGAUGAAAGGUUUUGGAACUAGGCAGAGGUGAUGGUUGCACAACACCAGGAAUGUAUUAAAUGUCACGGAGUUGUUCACUGUAAAACGGUUAAUACUGUUAACCAUUUGUGUGAGUUUCACCUCAAUGUUUUUCUUUUCCAAUCCAUAUACUGGCACCAAAGAGAUUUUGGCAGGAGUGAUCAAUUCCCACCCAUUUCUGACUUAUUCCUUACACAUACUCUCAGUGAGAGAAGUACCAUGAAAUGCAAAUGCUUCCCAGCCCAGGAAAAGGCUCGCGUACUCAUUCCAGGAACCGUGCGAGCACUUGCUGCACCAGGUCAAGCCCCCCCCCCCCCCCGGGGACCUCGGAGCCCACCUUCCAUCCCCAUCAGCCUCCUGUUCCACAGCUGCACUGCUGUCCUCCACACGUGCCCUCCUCACUCUGCUCUAGCACUCCACCAAUGCCCUGGGGCAAAGGGAGCAAGCCUGGAAGGCAGUAGGUUCUGGAGCAAGUGGGAGAUGAACCAAGUUUCUACUGAAAGGACAGGGGGAUUCAGCACCAGAGAGAGGCUGAGGCGACAAAAGGCGGGGUAGGUCCACCAGGGCGCCCAUCUGAUCUGCUGCCCCCACUGUGUGCGCGUACAGGAAAUGACCCAACAUUACUGAAAAAAUAAAACACUGGUUCUACUAAUGUUUCCUUUGGUUUAUUAUUAAAUUAGCUAUUCUGAUGAUCUAUACAUUUUUUAAUGUGAAAUUUAAAAAAUCAAAUGUUCAAAGCAAUUCUUCAGGAAAGGCACAGACUUUUUGUUAAGAGAAAAGGAUA